GGCCCCCCAGGCCAGGGGGGGAAUAUCCCCGCUGAUUUAAGACUAUCAUUAGGGGGAGAGA
rnacentral:rRNA from 1 species